UCCAGACUCCUACGGGAGGCAGCAGUGAGGAAUAUUGGUCAAUGGUCGGGAGACUGAACCAGCCAAGCCGCGUGAGGGAGGAAGGUACAGAGUAUCGUAAACCUCUUUUGUCAGGGAACAAAGGCGGGGACGUGUCCCCGGAUGAGUGUACCUGAAGAAAAAGCAUCGGCUAACUCCGUGCCAGCAGCCGCGGUAAUACGGAGGAUGCGAGCGUUAUCCGGAUUUACUGGGCGUAAAACGAGCGCAGGCGGGUUAACAAGUUUGGUAUGAAAGGCUUUUGCUUAACGAAAGUUUGUAUCAAAAACUGUUAAUCUAGAGUGUAGUAGAGAGUUCUGGAAUUCCAUGUGGAGCGGUGGAAUGCGUAGAUAUAUGGAAGAACACCAGUGGCGAAGGCGAGAACUUAGGCUAUCACUGACGCUUAGGCUCGAAAGUGUGGGGAGCAAAUAGGAUUAGAUACCCCUGUA
rnacentral:rRNA from 1 species